rnacentral:rRNA from 1 species
UUCAGCCCACGGGAGGCAGCAGUGGGGAAUAUUGCACAAUGGGGGAAACCCUGAUGCAGCGACGCCGCGUGAGUGAAGAAGUAUUUCGGUAUGUAAAGCUCUAUCAGCAGGGAAGAAAAUGACGGUACCUGACCAAGAAGCCCCGGCUAACUACGUGCCAGCAGCCGCGGUAAUACGUAGGGGGCAAGCGUUAUCCGGAUUUACUGGGUGUAAAGGGAGCGUAGACGACUGAGCAAGUCAGAAGUGAAAGCCCGGUGCUCAACCCCGGGACUGCUUUUGAAACUGC